rnacentral:misc_RNA from 1 species
AUUUCAUUCGCGUUCUCCGUCGGUGCACCACGUUGCACUCAAGGGGUGUGGGCGGGGUGAGGGACGGGUGCAUUGUCUUAUCCGAACUCCGCGGCGUUCAUCGUCACCGUCGUACAGGAACACCGACAUACGCGUGCACUCAAACUAACACUUUAGCAGCACACAGCGGGAAAAGCAAAACGAAGACGAAGCUGACAUGUCGUCCAGUGACAGCCUUGCCCAAGCGCGUGCACCGGCGGGCGCGACGGCGGCGGAUGAGGCAGCAGCCAUCACUGCCAGCUACGCAAGAGGGCAUUUCACCACUUACUACGUUGACUGCGCAAAGCUGCCAAGCGGUGGGACGGCUAGCAUGAGUGCAGCACCGGGCAGCCCUGCCGCUAACAGAGCAGACCUGCGCGGUGCCCAAACAGGUUCUAUACUAACUCUUGGGGACUUCAGCGUGCUUCCGCAUCCCGGGUACGCCGGCCGCAGAGGCAAGACCCUCAACAAGCCGCUGUUCCUCCAUCAACUCAAGUCUUGAGCGGCAAAGCGAGCUCUUUGCUGACGGGACAGUGAUGGCGGACUAACCGAGGGAGUGAGAGAAAGAGAUGCCUUCGCAAUCACAGUGCCGCGUGCGAGCGAGCGGGCAUGGUGGUGGUGGUGGUGGUGGUGUGGGGGGGGGGGCUUCUUUUCAUUGCUGCGCGUGCGUGCCUGGUUACUUUUUGGCCCUUCUCUUCCUCUUUUUGUGUGUGUAUGUGUGUACGCGCCUCUCUCUUGCCCCUCCUCCCUCCUCGACCUCGCGCAACGGAAUGCAGACCUCAGUCUCGCCUCACAGAAAUGGGCAAAACCAAUAGACGGCACGGGGGCUGUCUUUGCGCUGCAGCAACAGGCAUCGUGUGCGCUUGCCCCACACCCCCUCUGCCUCCGCAGCGUGACUGAGGUUAAUCUUAUCUGCGGCCUCUGCGGCACGGCCACAGGCGCAUUCCCGCACGAGCCCCUCCCGCCCACGACCCGCCAUCACCUCCCCUCUUCGCUCUGCUCCACCGAUCAUGCAUGCGUCACCGCUUCCCGUUCGCUAUCUCCCUCUUUCUUUCACCACCACGACACUUAUGCAUCGCCACAUGUUAG